AUGGGUAACUCUAUCGCAGCUAGUUCAGCUCCUGCACUGCUGGGAGAUGCUCACAAUCCAUGCUUCAAAUGGAAGGUUCAUAACUUCUCAAACUUACUCCAGAGGGGAGAUGUCUCAGUCAAUUCAGCUCCCUUUUUCUGCUCUGGGUACAAAUGGUUCCUUCAGUUGACUCCGCUUACCAAGCCAUAUUCUGGAAAACCAUGUGUUGCUCUUUCUCUAGGAAUUACUCGAGGAAGUCUGGGCUUGGAGCCAGGUUCCGUGAUGGCUGUGGUGUUUGAGUUGUCAAUAUACAAUCAUUCAGAUCAUGUGCAUUGGGGAUCCAAAGCUACCUUCAACUUUGAUGAUGAGCAUAUAAACUCGAAGAAGGAAUGCUUGAUUCCACUUAAAGAACUACUGGCUUCAACUGAUUUUUUGGCUGAUGACUGCUGUGUCUUUGGUGUGGAUAUAUUGAAAAUUGAUGCCCUUUUUCCUGAAAAGGAGGAAAUUGCGAUCCAGAAGGCUGCAAAAAUUCAGAGCCUCUUCAUCCAGAAAGAUAAUUUCAUCAAAUUGACCUGCAGCGUGACGAUAAAUAACUUUCUUGAAAUGAGCAUGGUGAAAUUCGUUUGUUCAAGAUUUGAACUUGAUGGACAAAACUGGUACUUUGGCGUCUAUCCGCAAGGUAACCAGUACAGCAAUAGCUGCCUCUCCUUGUACUUGCACCUCGAUGGCCCAGAAGAGCUCCCUCAUAAGUAUGGAAAGUUGGUUGAAUUAACUUUAUCCAUAUUGGACCAAAAACAUGGAAAACACUUCAUCAGGAAAUGCCCAGGUCUCGUGGUGUUUGCUGGUAAAUCCCACUGGGGGUGGUCUGACUUCAUUCCGCUUAAGACAUUCAUGAAUCCGGAGAGAGGCUAUCUUGUAGAAUCGUGCUGCAUUAUCAAGGCAGAGAUUACUAUCUUUGGAUCUUCUGAUGCGUGUCGUCUGAUGGCAUGA
rnacentral:rRNA from 1 species